rnacentral:lncRNA from 1 species
CUUAGACCACAACUACUUUUCAAAUUACAGUAUAUGGGCUUUACUAUAGCAGGCCUAAUGAAGAGUAGAUCCAAUAUUGAAAUUAAACGACAAACGACACGUAGUUUCAAUCAAAAACAUUAAACAUCACGUUGUUCAGUCAGUGUUUCCCAAGAAUGGAUCUCUCUCACAAGUCACAGAGAGUUGAACAAAUGAGAGAUCAGAUCUUUGUAUGCACAGCUCACAAAAGGUUUCAACAUACGGUUAAAAUACAAAUUUCAGCCGACCUGUUCUUUCGAAAUCAGCACAAUCCUACAAUAUAAUCCUCUUACAUAUACAUCAUAUACAGAAGUGAAACAUACUAUACUAAGACAAGAUGUAGAUAUAUUUUCACUUCCACAAACAUCAUUGAAUCUGUAAGAAACUAGUGGACUCCUGCAACAAUACAACCAUAAGCUUCACUGAGAGAACAAGUAACAUCAUGUAGAUUACAAAAGGUAGCCUGUAGGUUUGCUCUAUCCAGAUCAUGCAAAUUAUCAUAACUAAAAGAAUCAAGCAGCUAAAUAAUACUUACGAUUCAUCUUCACGCCAUGACUGCAAUCCUAUAUUACAACAACUAUGAUGACAAUGUAACUUGACAAACACUUGCAAGAUAUGGCUUCAAAGUUUUAACAUCAUUUAUUUCAUAAAAAGGGAAUAUAUACAACAUGAACACUAUCGCAUUUUCACGAUAAGUUCUGGUUACCAUAAAACAAAGCGGUUCAAGGAUCUUUGCCUCUUACACCGUAGCUAUUAACAUGACAAACAGAUAACUAUAUCUACCCGGCAAGGAAAAGACUGGAUUCACUCCUUUGUGAUCUCCUCUGCCUUUCGUAGUCAAGAUCAUCAGUAGGAAGCUCAAACCGGCAAACCGGACAAGUAUUCCUUAUCCCCAGCCAAGGCGUUAUACACUCUCCAUGAUACAAAUGCCUACAAGGAAGCCUCUUCACUUCCUCCUCUAUUAUCAUCUCAUCUUUACAGACCGCACAAACCACCUCCCCUUCUUCCAACGUAAGUUCCACAACAGGAAGAUCCUCAAUAACCCUUUUGGCAGCUGGAGGAUUCCCCCUGAUCCCAGCUUCGUUAUCAAACAUGUGCCCAAGAAUAGCAUCAUCAUCACCACCAUCACUCAAACUAGCUAGAUACAUGUAAUAGCUCGGAUCGAUAUCACCAGGGUUGAUCGUGAUACCUUCAGCUUGUUCAAUGUAAUUAACAACGUUGUUGAUAGUUAUCAAAACUUGCCAGUCAAGCUCAUGAUCUUCUUCUUCAUGAUCAUCUCUCGAUUGCGAAGACAACUCUUCUUCUUCUUCAUCAUCUUCGGAACUACUAAAAGCUCUAACCGUCCAGUUAAUAGCGUUCCGCACCUCCUCCCAUUCUUCAUUUUCAUCACCCAAGUCGUAAUCCCAAACCGGAGGUAGACCCGUAACAACCUCGACCCGACCCGACUCAUUUUCCACAUUCUCACUCUCCCCGGAGGUGAAAUUAAACACGUCAUCUUCGUAAUCGGAAUCCGAAUCCAGACCGGUCACUCGAAGCCCGGGUUGCUGAUCCGACCCGGAUCCUGACUCGCAUCUACUCCCCAAGACUAUCUCCCUCUCCUCUUCUUCUCCCUUAGGUUCAUAAAAGCCCCAUACAUUGAAAUCAUCGCCGGUGAGUCCUCCGGAUCCUAAGUACACCCCCUCGGAAGACUCUCGAUCGAAGAAAUCGAUGGGGCAGGUGUACGGAUCGAGCUCCGAAUCCGAUCCGGAAUCUGAAAUCGGGCGGCCUGCGAAAGGGAAAUAGGGAUCGCAAUCGACGUCCCUGUCGUGGAACGGAGGAGAGUCGCAGACGAAUACGCUCGUAGUCUCGUAAUCCUGUGUAGAAAUCGAACCUUCUACGGCUGCACCACCGUCCUCCGCCUCCUCUUCGAGGUUGAUGGUUACGGGACCGGGCUUCGUCGUCGACGCCAUUGCUGAGUUUCAGAGAAAUGUUAAGAAAAUAAAAAAAAAUGGAAAAUGAAUAUUCAAGAGGGAAAAAUCGUAUGAUCUGAUCUGCUGACGUGUAACUGAAAAAACUGAUGACGUGUAAAAAUAAUGCGCCUUUGCCGGGGAUCGAACCCGGGUCACCCGCGUGACAGGCGGGAAUACUCACCACUAUACUACAACGACUUGUUGAUUUCCAUUUGUCAACCGUAGAUAUUAGUUAGUUAAAAUUCGCUUUCAAUCGGUUUAUAACCGAGUUAACCGAACCGAAAUUAGUUGUUGUAAUCGUUACGAUCCCGCGUUAUAUACCAAUGAGAUUGAGUUCGUAAUGACUCAGAGUCAUGCCGGAGAAUCUCAGAUUCUUGCGUAUGACCAGAGCAGUUGUUUCCCUCCAAUUGUCUCUAACAAAGAAAACAAUUUCAUACCGAAGAGUUCCUGUUUUUUCUUAUUUCACAGAUUUCGUGAAACAAGUGAACUCAAUCAGCACGACGAACUUUUCGUUAGUUUACAAAGAAUGUGCCAAGCAAGGAGCGUUAGAGCUUGGCAAGCAAGCUCAUGCUCAUAUGAUACUAUCUGGGUUUCGUCCCACCACCUUCGUGCUGAACUGUUUGCUGCAAGUCUACACAAAUUCUAAAGAUUUACUCUCUGCUUCCAAGUUGUUCGAUAAAAUGCCUCUGAGAGACGUUGUCUCGUGGAACACGAUGAUAAACUGUUACGCGAAGAGUAAAGACAUGGUAAAGGCCAGUUCUUUCUUCAAUACGAUGCCUGAGAGAGACGUUGUGUCGUGGAACUCGAUGCUCUCUGGGUAUUUGCAAAACGGCGAGAGUUUUAAAUCCGUUGAGAUUUUCGUUGAGAUGGGAAGGGGAGGUGUUGGGUUCGACUGUAGAACGUUUGCUGUUAUCUUGAAAGCGUGUUCGUGUUUAGAGGAUAGCAGUUUAGGAAUGCAGAUUCAUGGGGUUGUUGUUAGAGUGGGUUGUGAUGCUGAUGUGGUUGCUGCAAGUGCGUUGUUGGAUAUGUACGCGAAGUGUAAGAGGUUCGACGAGUCGGUUAGAGUGUUUCGAGGGAUUCCGGUGAAGAACUCUGUCUCUUGGAGCGCUGUAAUCGCGGGCUGUGUUCAGAAUAACUUGCUGUCCUUAGCUUUGAUGUUUUUCAAGGAGAUGCAGAAGGUAGGUGGUGGAGUGAGCCAGUCGAUUUACGCUAGCGUAUUGAGGUCGUGCGCUGCGUUGUCUGAGUUGAGGUUAGGUGGUCAGUUACAUGCUCACGCGUUAAAGUCUGAUUUUGCGGGAGAUGGGAUAGUGAGGACGGCGACGUUGGAUAUGUAUGCGAAGUGUGAUAAUAUGCAAGAUGCUCAAGUUUUGUUUGACAAGUCAGAGAAUCUUAACCGACAGUCUUAUAACGCAAUGAUUACUGGUUACUCGCAGGAAGAGCAUGGUUUCAAAGCUCUGCUGGUGUUUCACCGGCUCAUGUUAUCUGGUCUUGGUUUCGACGAAAUAAGUUUAUCAGGAGUCUUCAGGGCUUGCGCCUUGGUGAAAGGUCUUUCGGAGGGGCUUCAGCUCUACGGUUUGGCGGUGAAAAGCAGCUUGUCACUAGAUGUUUGCGUUGCAAACGCUGCUAUCGACAUGUACGGGAAAUGCCAAGCUCUGAGUGAAGCCUUUCGUGUAUUCGAUGAGAUGAGGAGAAGAGACGCUGUGUCUUGGAACGCGAUUAUAGCAGCACAUGAGCAGAACGGGAGAGGAUACGAAACGCUUUCUCUUUUCGUCUCCAUGCUACGCUCUGGAAUCGAGCCUGAUGAGUUUACUUUCGGAAGCGUUCUGAAAGCUUGCGCUGGUGGUAACGGUAUGGAGAUCCAUUCCAACGUUGUUAAGUUAGGAAUGGCUUCGAACUCCUCUGUUGGAUGCUCUUUGAUCGAUAUGUAUUCGAAGUGUGGGAUGAUAGAAGAGGCGGAGAAGAUACAUAGUCGUUUGUUUCUUGGGGACAAUGUUCCGGGAGAGGUUGAAAAGAUGCACAACAAGAGACUGCAAGAACUGUGUGUUUCAUGGAACUCGAUCAUUUCCGGAUAUGUCACCAAGGAACAGAGCGAAGAUGCUCAGAUGCUUUUCACUCGGAUGAUGGAGAUGGGCGUAACUCCUGACAAGUUUACUUAUGCAACGGUUCUUGAUACCUGCGCGAACCUAGCUUCCUCCGGAUUAGGCAAACAGAUUCACGCUCAGGUUAUUAAGAAAGAGUUGCAAUCCGAUGUGUACGUCUGCAGCACGCUCGUUGACAUGUACUCGAAAUGUGGAGAUCUCCACGAUUCGAGAUUGAUGUUCGAGAAGGCGCAGAAAAGAGAUUUCGUGACGUGGAACGCCAUGAUCAGCGGGUAUGCACACCACGGGAAAGGAGAGGAAGCCAUAAAGCUAUUUGAGAGAAUGCUAUUCGAAAACAUCAAACCGAAUCAUAUAACUUUCAUAUCGAUACUCCGAGCUUGUGCUCACAUGGGUCUAGUCGAGAGAGGUCUUGAAUACUUCUACAUGAUGAAGACUGAAUACGGCUUGGAUCCUCAGCUGCCUCAUUACUCCAACAUGGUGGAUAUCUUGGGAAAAUCCGGGAAGGUGGAGAAAGCGUUGAAGCUUAUCCGAGAGAUGCCGUUCGAAGGAGACGAUGUUAUAUGGAGGACGCUGUUAGGAGUCUGCGCGAUACAUAGAAACAAUGUAGAGAUUGCGGAAGAAGCAACAGCUGCUCUGUUGAGACUUGACCCGCAAGACUCUUCUGCUUAUACUCUUUUGUCGAAUGUGUACGCAGAUGCGGGGAUGUGGGAGAAGGUUUCGGAUCUAAGGAGAAGUAUGAGAAGCUUUAAGCUUAAGAAGGAGCCUGGUUGCAGUUGGGUUGAGCUCAAAGAUGAGCUUCACGUGUUUUUCAUUGCAGAUAAGGCUCAUCCUAGAUGGGAAGAGAUCUACGAAGAGAUUGGUUUGAUCUACGGUGAGAUGAAAUCAUUUGAUGAUUCUUGUUUGGUGCCUGAGGUUGAAGUACAAGACCAAGACCAAGACCAAUGGUACUACUGCUAAAUGUGUUGUAUGAUUAGUGGUUUAUGAAUUUAGUCCAUUUGUAUGAUUUACCCAUAUCAUAAGUUUACUAUAAACAAUUUAAUUAGAGUAUUCAUUUGUGUAACUUUUUAGCAUACAAUGUACAGUUGUCUUGUUUGUUCUGAAUGAAUACUACAUUUAUUGACAGCCAUAAGCAGUUUAAUAAAGUACUUUGCUCUUAUCUGUUUUUAAUCCAAAAAUGUCACUACAAGGAUAAUAAUAGAUGAGAAAACUAAUAAAAUCACAACAGAGAUAAUCAAUGACAGUGGGUCAAAACUCCUGAGUAAUACCAAAACUGAUAAACAGAAAAGAACAAAACAGAGUUCUUCAUAAGAGUACAGCACAAAUCUUCUGAAGCCAAAAAUCUGAUCUCUUGUGUGUUAACAUGUUGUGAUUAUUCUUAUGAUGUGGAGGCAAUAUCCUCUGUUGUUUUCAGGCGCUUUGCAUCCAGCUCUUCUUGGAUAUUAUCUUCUUGCACUGCUUCUUCUUCUUCCUCUUUUAGUUCUUCAUGGUGUUGAGUAAGAUGGCCAUUGACUGCUUCAUGACCAAUAAGAGAGACAUGUUUGCUCGUGAUUUGGCGACCUGCCCUAAGCUUUGGACCCCAAUGCUUCUCUGGGUUUGGAAGAAACCGAGCUACUUUCUUCACCUGCGCCCUGCUCAGCGAACCAACGUGACGCGAAAAAUCAACCUGAACGGUAACAUAAAACAAAGAUUCAAGCUCUGAAAUCUAUUCAGUUUCUAACAAUGAAGAGAAAGACACCAAAAGAGACCUGGUGUGAUGGUUCUUUGGACAAGAUCACACUUCCGGGGAGUUCAGGGGCUUGUGCCUUUAUAGGAUGAUUCUUAGCCUACAAACAUCAACAACCAAGAAAUAAAACCAGUCAAAAAAACAAGAUUUGGUUAAAUAAAACAGUAUUCACAUUCUGAAUCAUCUGUUAGUUUUACCCAGCAACGCAUGAUGUCCCAGAUAACCUCCAUAGGGGCAUCAGUUUUCAUGCCGAGAGGAUUCACAUGGGUUCCGGAGAUACGGUAAUUAGCAUUGAUAACAGCUGAUCGAAACAUAGCAGCUGAUGGUGAAAUGCAUUUUAGCGUCGCACAAAGAUUAUGCAGACUCAAAAACAGAGGAACAUCUACCAACUCCUGAAAACCAAAAAUAGAAUCCACUCUUUUUUCACGGUUUAUUCUGAUAAUUUAUACACAAAAAUGUUACUGCAACUUGCCUCAGAGAUUGUGGUAAGUACAGCGUAGAUCCGUUCAUAAGCAGGAUAUCUGUCUUUCAUGGAUUUAACGCUGUUCAAAAUAGAAGUCACCCAUUCUUGAUCAUGGAUUGGAGCAGACCAUAUCGGUCCGCCCAUGUUAUAUUUCUUCCCACAGUGGUUGCAUUCUUGUGCCACAACUGGACCAAUUGCUGGAAGAUACCUCACACUGUUGUUCUGCCAAACAAUGAUUCAAAUAUUUUAUUAGAAAAUGGUUUCAAGAUAAAAAAAAAAAAAUUAUGUCAGAACAACAAGAAUCAUUGGCUAUAAUAAUCCAAGUUUCUCUAUCAUCUUAGGAGGUGCAUUGCAUAGAGAAUGUUCAAACAGGUGCAUAUAUACCUUUGGAAGAGAUCUUCCAACAGGUUGAAGAUGGAAUGAAUCACAGCCAAUGCAUUGAUAGACGUAAGAAAGCUUCAAUGGAGUGUUCUUCAUUGCACUCGCCGAGCUGUGACAAUUUGAUUAAGCGCUUUGAGGUUUCAGUGAAUCAAAAGACAAAACAGAACAUUUUACAAUGUUUGAUUAGACAAGGAGAAGCUCACGUGUAAACGCGUACAAAGACACGAACAUAGAAAUCCAUUUGCACAGAUAGCACCGGAACAAUAUACCGCUUGUAGCGGUUUGCGUGGCUCUACAUUUAAGGGAAAAAGAACAUAAGAAAAAUGAUUUAUUUCGUAAAAGAGGAAAUGGCUUAAAGAUAAACAAACCUCGAUGCUGGCAAGGAGGAUCCUCAAAGCCAUCUCAUGACAAUACUUCCCUCUCAAUGGGUAAGAACCAUAUCUGAUACAUCAAAAAGAUUAAAGAUCAGUUUAGGCAAAUGGCACACUUGGUAUAUGUUUCACAUAAAGACUCACUUGGAAUAACAAACUUCGCCGUUACCGCCACACAACACUGCCAUAUCAGUUGCUGUGCACAUCAGCAAUCCACCAUCCGCUACUGAUUGAAUAGCCGAGUCAAGGAAGAUAGAAGGUGAUCCAUAUGGAUCAAGAUCAACCUAAGAAGAUUAUUAACCAGGAUUAGUUUUUAGUAUAACAAACUAACAACCAAUAUGCAAAUGAACACAAGUAUAAAACUCAUGGAAUUACCACAUCAAAUUCGUUAGGGUGGGUAAGCAUAUGGACACGAGCAUCGGUGUGAUGUGACUCCACCUUUGAAAUAGCAAGCGAGCCAUUGAACUUUAUGUUUCUCUGGCAAGCUUCCACCGAUGCUUUUCAAAAGAAAGAAGGACACAGUGUUAGUAACUUAGCAUACUGAUAAGAUUUCUACAAGUCCCUCUAAGCUAAUUCAUUAAGAGGAGAUUACCAAUGUCAUUGUCCAACGCUACAACCUGACCAAUCCCUUCUAUUUCACGCGCAUAUCUUAAAGCUCGCAAACCAGAAGCAGACAAAGCCUGAGAAUGCAUUAAAAGUUAUAUAACUGCAAGAUCUCAACAAGCAAUGAAACCAGACAAUGAAUGAUAAGAAUAUAGGAAAGACCUCGAGCACUUUCGGAGGCUUGAGUUCUCUAAGUGCAACUCCUUCUGGUUUUUUAGAAGCAGAGCUACUUGGUGGGUCUUCAGAUGCUACUUGGUGCUCACCGUUCUCACUAGGAGUUCCUUCCUUGGAAGCUUCAGAAGAGUCCUUGUCGACCACAUUGGGAACUGAUCUAUUUCUUUUGGAAGACUUGGCAUCAUGCUCUUGCUUGCGUUUGGAUAUAAAUUCUCUUAGGACAGCUAUAGACAUGUCUCUGUUGUUCACCUAACCAAGUAAAGUUGUAACAAUCAAAUACCAUUCAAAGUUGUGAUCUUUUUGGUUUCUCAUUGACUCAUAUAGACUAAAGCAAAGUAUUGCUCCACAAGGAGCUAAUUGAUGUGAAUCAAUAAUGUUCAAUAAAGGUACGAACUUUGAAAACAAAAUCAAAUAAGCUAAUACAAUGGAAGAGAAACAAUAAGCAGAACCUGAGCUUUAUUGAAGAAGACUUGAUUCUUCUUGUGAAGGAGGAUCUCAGCUUCUCCUUCCUUGAUAACGGUGUAGUCAUUCAGAUCCGAUUCCAUUGCUCUCUCUCUUAUUAUCAACAGGAGACUCUUCAAGUUAUCCCCUUCUAUACUCUGCUGUUUUAGGGAGAAAUUUGGAGGAGGUUAGCUUUAAAACCCUACUACUCUGCAUUAACAAGUGGGAAGUUUUUGUUUCCUUUGGAAAAAAAAAAAGGAAAAGAAAAAAAAGACAGUUGAUUUGUACUUUGUAGUAAUUAGAAAAUUGAAUUUGGACAUAAAUUAACAUAAUUGCAUUCUUGUGCCACAACUGGACCAAUUGCUGGAAGAUACCUCACACUGUUGUUCUGCCAAACAAUGAUUCAAAUAUUUUAUUAGAAAAUGGUUUCAAGAUAAAAAAAAAAAAAUUAUGUCAGAACAACAAGAAUCAUUGGCUAUAAUAAUCCAAGUUUCUCUAUCAUCUUAGGAGGUGCAUUGCAUAGAGAAUGUUCAAACAGGUGCAUAUAUACCUUUGGAAGAGAUCUUCCAACAGGUUGAAGAUGGAAUGAAUCACAGCCAAUGCAUUGAUAGACGUAAGAAAGCUUCAAUGGAGUGUUCUUCAUUGCACUCGCCGAGCUGUGACAAUUUGAUUAAGCGCUUUGAGGUUUCAGUGAAUCAAAAGACAAAACAGAACAUUUUACAAUGUUUGAUUAGACAAGGAGAAGCUCACGUGUAAACGCGUACAAAGACACGAACAUAGAAAUCCAUUUGCACAGAUAGCACCGGAACAAUAUACCGCUUGUAGCGGUUUGCGUGGCUCUACAUUUAAGGGAAAAAGAACAUAAGAAAAAUGAUUUAUUUCGUAAAAGAGGAAAUGGCUUAAAGAUAAACAAACCUCGAUGCUGGCAAGGAGGAUCCUCAAAGCCAUCUCAUGACAAUACUUCCCUCUCAAUGGGUAAGAACCAUAUCUGAUACAUCAAAAAGAUUAAAGAUCAGUUUAGGCAAAUGGCACACUUGGUAUAUGUUUCACAUAAAGACUCACUUGGAAUAACAAACUUCGCCGUUACCGCCACACAACACUGCCAUAUCAGUUGCUGUGCACAUCAGCAAUCCACCAUCCGCUACUGAUUGAAUAGCCGAGUCAAGGAAGAUAGAAGGUGAUCCAUAUGGAUCAAGAUCAACCUAAGAAGAUUAUUAACCAGGAUUAGUUUUUAGUAUAACAAACUAACAACCAAUAUGCAAAUGAACACAAGUAUAAAACUCAUGGAAUUACCACAUCAAAUUCGUUAGGGUGGGUAAGCAUAUGGACACGAGCAUCGGUGUGAUGUGACUCCACCUUUGAAAUAGCAAGCGAGCCAUUGAACUUUAUGUUUCUCUGGCAAGCUUCCACCGAUGCUUUUCAAAAGAAAGAAGGACACAGUGUUAGUAACUUAGCAUACUGAUAAGAUUUCUACAAGUCCCUCUAAGCUAAUUCAUUAAGAGGAGAUUACCAAUGUCAUUGUCCAACGCUACAACCUGACCAAUCCCUUCUAUUUCACGCGCAUAUCUUAAAGCUCGCAAACCAGAAGCAGACAAAGCCUGAGAAUGCAUUAAAAGUUAUAUAACUGCAAGAUCUCAACAAGCAAUGAAACCAGACAAUGAAUGAUAAGAAUAUAGGAAAGACCUCGAGCACUUUCGGAGGCUUGAGUUCUCUAAGUGCAACUCCUUCUGGUUUUUUAGAAGCAGAGCUACUUGGUGGGUCUUCAGAUGCUACUUGGUGCUCACCGUUCUCACUAGGAGUUCCUUCCUUGGAAGCUUCAGAAGAGUCCUUGUCGACCACAUUGGGAACUGAUCUAUUUCUUUUGGAAGACUUGGCAUCAUGCUCUUGCUUGCGUUUGGAUAUAAAUUCUCUUAGGACAGCUAUAGACAUGUCUCUGUUGUUCACCUAACCAAGUAAAGUUGUAACAAUCAAAUACCAUUCAAAGUUGUGAUCUUUUUGGUUUCUCAUUGACUCAUAUAGACUAAAGCAAAGUAUUGCUCCACAAGGAGCUAAUUGAUGUGAAUCAAUAAUGUUCAAUAAAGGUACGAACUUUGAAAACAAAAUCAAAUAAGCUAAUACAAUGGAAGAGAAACAAUAAGCAGAACCUGAGCUUUAUUGAAGAAGACUUGAUUCUUCUUGUGAAGGAGGAUCUCAGCUUCUCCUUCCUUGAUAACGGUGUAGUCAUUCAGAUCCGAUUCCAUUGCUCUCUCUCUUAUUAUCAACAGGAGACUCUUCAAGUUAUCCCCUUCUAUACUCUGCUGUUUUAGGGAGAAAUUUGGAGGAGGUUAGCUUUAAAACCCUACUACUCUGCAUUAACAAGUGGGAAGUUUUUGUUUCCUUUGGAAAAAAAAAAAGGAAAAGAAAAAAAAGACAGUUGAUUUGUACUUUGUAGUAAUUAGAAAAUUGAAUUUGGACAUAAAUUAACAUAAUAAAACAUAACGGAUACGGAUGUAAGAAAAGCAAACGUUAGGGACGGGACUAGGGUAAAAAAGAUCACAGCAAAAAACACUUGGCCCAUGCAGGUUUCGAACCUGCGACCUUCGCGUUAUUAGCACGACGCUUUCUAACCAACUGAGCUAAUGGGCCAUUUGAUAUGCAGUAAGACCUGAGGAUGAUUUGACCAGUCAGAAUAGAGACAAACAUGAGAUGGACCCUCCUGUGAAUCCCAUUAAUCAACUACGUUUUUCUUACUAGGGGUUGUGAAACUUGUGUUGUUGUUUGCAAAAGAGGCUAACGAGUGCUCAAUUUGAUGGAACAGCUGAGUUUCUCAGGUAACAAAGAAUGUACAUACGCAUGUUGAAAAUGUUGUUGAAUUUUUUUUACCAAAACAUGUGUUUGGCUUUUAUGCCUUUGAACAAUGCUACGUCCAAUGGAAACAUGUGUCCUCUAGCUAGGUAAGGGAUUUUUAAGUACCGAACCACAUUUGCACAUGAUGAUAAAGAGCCCUUUGAUCCAUGUUUUCUAAUUACUAUAUUAGCAACGUUGAUACGUGUCCAUGAGACUAGGGCAAAUUAAAGAAGGAUUUAAGACUCCAAAUGAGACUACACUUGGUUGACUCUGCCAAGGUUUGGAUAGUCUUGACUCUUCUUCUUCUUCCUCGUACCAUUUCAACAAACCAAGAACGGUAAAAAAAAAACUCUGAAAAUCUCCAAGGAUGAAAAUGUAAUUAAAGUAUAGGGACAAGUCACUGCUACACUUAGUGUGGUUCCUCUGGCUCAGCCAGCACGCCUCCCACAAAAAGUCAAAACUUCCCUACGUAUCAAUUAUAUGUCGACACGUGUCCAUCAGACCACAUCACCCAUCUUGUUCCGUAACCUCACUGUUUAGAUUUUGUUUUCUUUAUUUUCUGACGUCUUUUAGCUGUUUUCUGUAAAAUAUAUGCACGGACUUCCUACGUCACCUGAGACUUCCCUCUUAGAUUCUUUGUCCAAAGGAAGAUAAAGAUUUCAAAAAUCAUUUCAUUUGUUUAGUAAGUAAAUGCAUACUUUACAAAUUACAAUGGUGGUACGAAAAAGUUGGUGGUGAAAACUGAUACCUUGCACAUAAUAACUGCAUAAACAUAUGUAAUAAAAAAAAUAUUUAAAUAGAGACAACGAUGAUUUUGUAAUUCUUUCAGUCAACAAUAUUAGAAUGAAACUAUUUAUAUUUUUGUACCUCUAAAUCAGAGAUUACCCAUGAACAAAAAAAAUAUCUUAUACCAUUCUUGUACUCAUCUAAAAGACUUUAACUCCCGAAACUCUGGCAAGCAAUGGCCAAAUAUAGAACAUUGGAGAACAUAGUUAAAUCUACUUUUCAAAAGGUUCUUAGUUCUUUAUAAGAACUAAUCAACAAACUCAAUUAAGUGUACAUUUUAUAUGUAUGCAUGUGAUAUAUAUAUAUAUAUAUAUAUAUGUGAUACAUUUUUUUCUCACUUGUUAUUUUCAGUUUAGACAAUAGCAUGACUUUAAGAAAACAUGUGACUUAAACUAAAACAAACAACAAAGUGAUCACCAAAUAUCUAUCAAUAUAUCAAACAUACACGUACGUUUAUAUGUAUUAUAUGUAAGAGUUUUCCCAAACAAUUAGUCCCUGUUAUUACUUUUGACUCAUUUUUUUGAGCAACAUACACGUACUUUUGACUCAUAAGAAACGAUUUAGGAUUAUUACUUUUGACUCAUUUUUUUGAGCAACAUACACGUACUUUUGACUCAUAAGAAACGAUUUAUUAUUUUUAGAAAUCGGCAAAUAAGAGGGAUUUCUCAAAAAAAUAUAAGUAUAUGCAUAAAGGAAAGCGAAAAUAUAACAAAAGUUGGUCUGAAACUUGAACCUUGUCAAGUAGAUAGGAGCCAAUAGACAUGCGACACAUACAUGUCAUGUCCAUAUUAAGGUAUGAGAGGUUUUCCUGCAACUUGUGAAGUAGAAAAUGAUGAUAGCUACUUUCGUAUUAUUGUAGAAGCCAAUGCUAUUCCCACUCUCACGCGCCUUACCACUUGGACAAUUUUAAUACUUUCAUUUCAUUGGCAAAUCAAUAUACAUAACUACAUAAACAGACGUGUGUUAUGCUAUAUCCAUAUCAAAGUUUUAAAAAUUGCUAAGAACUUAGGUAAUGUAUUUAAAACUUAAAGUGUGGAAAUCUAUGAACUUGGGUAAUGUUUGUAAGAGUUAAAGAGUGAAAAUACAGUAAGUAAUUAUUUCUAUAUAGGCAUGGAUUAUAAUCAGAGAACAUAAACAUCAUUUUUCUUAAUUAGUAGCAAUUGCGUCUCUGUGACACACGCACAAAACAAGAGAGAGUGAAAAUGUUUUUUUACCUUUUUGUAAAAGAGGGAGGACAGAGAAAGAGUAAAGAGGUAGAGAGAGAGAGAGAGUUGGAACACACCAGAUACAUCACCAAACCCUAGUUAUCUCUCAUCCGCACAAGUAUCUUAUCUUUAUAGCUUUUAAAGAUUGACAAAAGCUUUCUUCAGAUUCACAAUCUCAUCACACACACACAACCCUUCAAAAAAAGAAAGAAAGAACAGACAAAAGAUCUAAAGAAUAAACAAGAACCCUACUACAAUCAAAUCAAAACCAAACCAAGAAGCAAAAGUUUCCUCUUUAUAUUCUCUUCUCCUCUUCUUGUUCUUUUUGUCAGUGAAUCUUAUAUGACUUUUUGGACUCUGUUUGCUUUUCUUCAGAUAUGUGAUAUGGUGACUAUUGCAAGAUACAUGAAAAAACUAGGGUUUUGUUUUAUUGUCCAAAAGAAAAGAUCUUUCAUCAGAAAAAGCAACACCAAACUCAUGUUUGUGUGUGUGUCUGAAUAUAGAUAAACAAAUUACAUCACAUAAUAAGGUUACAUAUAAAAGAAGAAGG